rnacentral:rRNA from 1 species
GGGGAAUAUUGCACAAUGGGCGCAAGCCUGAUGCAGCCAUGCCGCGUGUAUGAAGAAGGCCUUCGGGUUGUAAAGUACUUUCAGCGGGGAGGAAGGGAGUAAAGUUAAUACCUUUGCUCAUUGACGUUACCCGCAGAAGAAGCCCCGGCUAACUACGUGCCAGCAGCCGCGGUAAUACGUAGGGGGCAAGCGUUAUCCGGAUUUACUGGGUGUAAAGGGAGCGUAGACGGCAAGGCAAGUCUGAUGUGAAAACCCGGGGCUCAACCCCGGGACUGCAUUGGAAACUGUCAAUCUAGAGUACCGGAGAGGUAAGCGGAAUUCCUAGUGUAGCGGUGAAAUGCGUAGAGAUCUGGAGGAAUACCGGUGGCGAAGGCGGCCCCCUGGACGAAGACUGACGCUCAGGUGCGAAAGCGUGGGGAGCAAACAGGAUUAGAUACCCUGGUAGUCCACGCCGUAAACGAUGUCGACUUGGAGGUUGUGCCCUUGAGGCGUGGCUUCCGGAGCUAACGCGUUAAGUCGACCGCCUGGGGAGUACGGCCGCAAGGUUAAAACUCAAAUGAAUUGACGGGGGCCCGCACAAGCGGUGGAGCAUGUGGUUUAAUUCGAUGCAACGCGAAGAACCUUACCUGGUCUUGACAUCCACGGAAGUUUUCAGAGAUGAGAAUGUGCCUUCGGGAACCGUGAGACAGGUGCUGCAUGGCUGUCGUCAGCUCGUGUUGUGAAAUGUUGGGUUAAGUCCCGCAACGAGCGCAACCCUUAUCCUUUGUUGCCAGCGGUCCGGCCGGGAACUCAAAGGAGACUGCCAGUGAUAAACUGGAGGAAGGUGGGGAUGACGUCAAGUCAUCAUGGCCCUUACGACCAGGGCUACACACGUGCUACAAUGGCGCAUACAAAGAGAAGCGACCUCGCGAGAGCAAGCGGACCUCAUAAAGUGCGUCGUAGUCCGGAUUGGAGUCUGCAACUCGACUACAUGAAGCUGGAAUCGCUAGUAAUCGCGAAUCAGCAUGUCGCGGUGAAUACGUUCCCG